AAGGGGGCUGCCUGAGAGCUCAGUCUCCUGGCUGGACUAGGAUAUUUAUAGCACCUGUGUUUCUGGACCUGUCUCUACCUGGAUUUAUGCAGUCUGUGGCUGUAGCAUGUGUGGGGAAUGAGGGGGGCACAUCUUGCUGCAAGGGCUGAUUCCCGGCCUUGGGACUCUGGCUGGAAUGAAAGUUAUAAAAUCAAAACAAGGGGCCAUCUGGGGGAACACCGAGGCAGAAUGGCUCUUUCGUGCUGUGUCUGCAGAGCAGUCGGUGAUCAGGCUUGGCUAAACCCGGGGCUUUCCAACACCACCUAGUGUUCUAUUUAUGGCAGCUGUGGGCGUGGGUGAGGCAGGUGUGGGUGGUGGAGGAAGCGUACCCCACCCUCCCAGUUCCCCAGGGCUGUGGCUCUCUGUUUCCUGGCUGCUCCUCCAAAGGGUUAAAGCCUGAAAGAAUGUUCUCUCUCUCUGGGGAUCUGCACUUUGAAAGAGGAGCCCAGAGAGCACGUGGUGGCCCAUCCUCUCUUCCAGAACAGCAAAACUAGAGUCCAAGUUUGCAGACCCAACGUCCAGGUCCUCCUCUUCAUCUUUCCCUAAUCGCAUGAAAUGUAAUCAGAUGUUUGAAGAACCCGGAGAAACAAACGAACAACCUCCAAGAGCGGAAAAUGGAAUCUGAGGGCAGGUGCAGCAUCUGUAUCAUUACUCCAGUGAAGACAGAUACUGGAACUGGCUGUGAGAAUACCCCUCUGGAAUUGCCCAUUGCUGGGGCCCAUCUGCUGGUAGGGACACCCUGUUCCCAAAUGCUGGAAGAUCUGCCGCUCCCUGCCCCCGCCACCGACAGUUGCUGAGCUGCCACCUGCUGUCUGUUUCCACACCCUUGCACACUGCAUUCUGCUUGUCACUCUGGACGGCUGCCCGGCAGCUGCAGCUGAGGCUGUCCUGCCAGCACCUUCCCCAGCCCGAUGGGUGGUCCCGGCCUGGCCUUGCCCUCCCAGCCUGCCUCAUCUGCUGCGUGUACUGAGCCACAUCUGGCUGGAUACACUGCUGGAGUAGCCUGGAUGGGCCCGGACACCUUGACCUUCAGAGAGAUGGGCAUCCUGCCUCAGGACCUCUUGGAGAGGGUCGGCUGUGGAACCCAACAGUACAAGACAAUAAUGAUGAUGACAGCUCAUGUUUACUGAGGACUUAUGAAGUAACAGGCUCAGUGAUUUACCAACUUGAUGUAUACCUCGCCACUCUCCUGUAAAAUAAGUAUUAUUAUGUCCCCUUUUGACGGAUGAAGAAACCAAUGCUGCAUGAUAUGAAUGAAUCCAUGUGAAGGUCUCCCAGGGCAUAAUUUAUGAAGCUAGGGUUAGGCACUUCUGCUUUUUGGUCCUGCUUUCUGGGCACCAGGAAGAAAAAAAUAAGAGAAGUUGUUUUUAGCCUUUAGGUGAUUAAGGCCCAAGAAAGCAGAAGGGCGGAGGGUAGACUGGACAGGCCUAUGCUUAGGACAGGAGGGACAAAUGAAUAGAGCAUCCCUCUUUGUCCAGCUGAAGGUGGCAGAAGGUGACACAGAAUCAGGAACUUUCCUUCAAAGGGUGCGGAUUGUAAAUAAUUGCCUGCCAUGUCUUUGGAAGACUUUGGCCCCCAGUGGGAAGAACCUGCAUUUGCCUUGGCUUCUGCCACCAGCUUCAGCUCCCCUUAGGAACACAAGAUCCCCUAUGUCCUACUGGAUGCUACAGUGAUGGGAUCCAGCAACAGGGUUGUAGCUGCAAAAUGGAUCAGGUUUUGUGGGGUCCCACGGUUAGUUUUGGGGUCCUACCAUGGUCCUGACUGCCCAAAGUGUGAUUUUCAGAUAGUCCAAAUCAUUCAAAAGGAAAUUCUGCCUUUUGGUUUUGCCAAAGAGGGAGUUGUUUGGAAGGGGACUCCACGGUGGGGAAUCCCACUCUGAGGGUGCCGUGAGGGCCGGUGGAGCCCAGGCACUAUCCAAGUUACACAGGUGCGCCCCACAUGGUGGGCCAUGUGUGCGGCUGCCUGGGCUCUGGAACCUGCGGGGUCCUCCGUGCUUGGAAUAGUCUGGAUCUGCUGACUUGGCAAAAAUGGGUGUGGGGGUUGGUCCACAUCUGGAGGAGAGAGGGAAGGAGGCCCCAGUGGCCUGGGCCGUGGAGGGGCUUGCCAGCUUUGCCCACAGCCCUGAGCUCCCCCUUCUUUUUCCUCAACCACAAGAACAGUGUAAUUCUCCUCAUGUUAAAAGUAAACAGCUGGCAGCAUCUGCCAUGCUCAAAAUAAACCAAGAACGAAUAGGAGGCAUUCGUAACCACAAUAGGUCCUGGAUAGGGAAGGAAGGGGUGGUUCACUAUGUAAAAUCCAAAGCUGGCUACUUGCGGAGCCUCAAUUCAUUUGUUUCAUGAUGGGUGGUUAAUUAGUUGAUCAAUGCACAAGCUCCUAGAAGGUCCUGCUGGUGCCGUUUGCCAUGGCUCCCGGGGCAGCUCCCAUGGACAUCACAGUAACCUUGUGGGGCCAGAUGGUCCAUGGUAUAGCAGGGACUGGGAAUGAUGGUCAGGCCUGAGGUGUUAGCUGCCCCUUGCUGCGCGUCCGGGGUCAAAAAGCCAAGGACCUGGGAAGACUGGGAAAACGGUGUGGCAAACCAGUGCCGUCACACAGUAAUAUACACACUGACUCCUCAAGUCUGAUCGACAGACUGGGCCUGGGCCUGGCUGGCAGCAUCCGAUAGCUCUGAGGGGCUCAGGGAUGAGACUGGCCAUAUCUGAACAGCAUCGAAUCCUCUCCUCCCGGCACACUAAGUGUAAGCGCCAGACAGAAAAACAAAUUAAUAUUACAAAUGUCACAAGCUUUCAUGGUCUGGAAAGAGAAAGGCUUCCAACAAGGGACCGAUUCACAAGGCUUCGUAAUUCUGGGGACUACCAUCCUUCAUCACCCUCAUAAAAACAGCCAGAAGUGGCGUAGGGCUCACUGGAGAAGAACAUGGGGAAGGUCGGGGUGCCUGAAUGCCCAGAGAUCAGGCAGUUGGCUGUAACUUCAGAAAUGGGUUUUAUGCUGGAGGUCACAAACUGGCUGUCAGCUGGCUGAUUCCAGUAGGUAGACAUGUACUCGUUGGCCCACAAAUGCCUUUAUUUUUGAAUUUGAAUUAGAGGCCAAAAUGUGCCAAUCAAGAGAAUCACGCACGUGCGCGCGCGCACACACACACACACACACACACACACACACGAACCAAACCAAAAAAAUCCCCACCAAAACCCUCAUAUUCCCUUGAAAUACCUGUGCGCUCAGGCCUAAGCUCUCCAGAUGGCAUCAGGCAGCACAACUCCCUUCCCUCCCUGCUGCCUUCUACAGUCAUUUGUGAUUUCAACUCCAGUGUUAAGCCAUCAAGCACGUUUUAUGGAUCAGGGAGUUAGUGGGGCUGACUUUCCAAAAGUCCAAUUUAAAUGAAGGUUAUAUAACAAAGUGGGAGAGAGAGAUUUUGCUUCUACUUUAGGUGAAAAGAUUGAGCUAGUCCUUUAUUUCAUUGAAACAAUUAUCUAAUUAAAAUCAUUUGUUUUUUAAUUAAGCAACAUCACAACAUACAAGAAAAGUUCCGGAAAUUUAAAAAAAAGCUACUUGGGUUGUCAUCCUUGCAAAAUUUUUCCUCGUGUGUAUUCCUUCCAGUCUUUUUUCACACGCAUUUUUACAUAGUUACAUACGUGGGUGUGUAUCCUGCUUUUUUCAUUGAACACUGUAAUUUACAUAUUUUAUCCCAUUGCUUUCUAAUCCGCAUUUUUUGUUAUUCUAAAUGUUUCAAGGAACAUCCGCAUGCAUUUGGAUCUUUUUGUAUUUUGAAGUAUUUGCUCAGAAGAUAGUUUCAGAAGUAGCAUGAAUGGGUUAUAUAUAUAACAACUUGCAUAUUAAAGAGUUAACCUGGAAAUUCCUAACCCACAAGUACCCUGUAUAAGUCUCUUUAUCUCAGCAAAUCGUUGGAGAGGCUGUAGGAAAAAAAACCUCAUUUCAGCAUCUGUGAUAGGAUUGUGGGUAAUUAAAAAAAAUUGCAGCAUGUGAAGUCCAUUCCGGGAAUAGCACUAUCUUGAGACCCAAGUCAAAUAGUACUAAAUGUGCUAAGCAGAGGCCUGUGUUUAAAGAAGAAACUCAUUUGCUCUUAAUAACUGCAAAAUGCUGCAUAGCUCGACGAUGGAGUCAGAAAACUCCGCAGAGCAUCAAAGCCUGGUUCAAAAAGAUAUGGGAGGCCAAGAUACAAGACAAACUGUCUUUCCCCAUUAAAGCAUCUUUGUGCCCUAA